AUCCUCCAGAUUCCUUGUGCCUCGGGGCUAAACAUUGCUCUGCGUGGCUGAAAUAGGAGCAAGCAUCAGCCUGAAGUGGGCUUGCGGUGCUUGGUGACAUACAAGCUCAUUUCAGACAUAU
rnacentral:snoRNA from 1 species